GAUGAACGCUGGCGGCGUGCCUAAUACAUGCAAGUCGAGCGAACAGACGAGGAGCUUGCUCCUCUGACGUUAGCGGCGGACGGGUGAGUAACACGUGGAUAACCUACCUAUAAGACUGGGAUAACUUCGGGAAACCGGAGCUAAUACCGGAUAAUAUAUUGAACCGCAUGGUUCAAUAGUGAAAGGCGGUUUUGCUGUCACUUAUAGAUGGAUCCGCGCCGCAUUAGCUAGUUGGUAAGGUAACGGCUUACCAAGGCAACGAUGCGUAGCCGACCUGAGAGGGUGAUCGGCCACACUGGAACUGAGACACGGUCCAGACUCCUACGGGAGGCAGCAGUAGGGAAUCUUCCGCAAUGGGCGAAAGCCUGACGGAGCAACGCCGCGUGAGUGAUGAAGGUCUUCGGAUCGUAAAACUCUGUUAUUAGGGAAGAACAAAUGUGUAAGUAACUAUGCACGUCUUGACGGUAUCUAAUCAGAAAGCCACGGCUAACUACGUG
rnacentral:rRNA from 1 species